rnacentral:misc_RNA from 1 species
UUUCCGUAGGUGAACCUGCGGAAGGAUCAUUAUCGUAUAACGGAGAUGCCUAGGGCUGUCGCUGACUCUCAUGGGUCGUGCACGCCCAAAGCCGCUCUCUCAUGUCCAUCUCACCCCUUUGUGCAUCACCGCGUGUGCUCCCCUAUCGGGUUUGUUCCGAGGGGGUGGUUCACGUUUUUACAUAGACGCCAAUUUUUUAAAAGCAUGUGUAGAAUGUCUUACUUUUUGCGAUCACACGCAAUCAAUACAACUUUCAACAACGGAUCUCUUGGCUCUC